rnacentral:rRNA from 1 species
GACGAACGCUGGCGGCGUGCUUAACACAUGCAAGUCGAACGGAAAGGCCCUGCUUUUGUGGGGUGCUCGAGUGGCGAACGGGUGAGUAGCACGUGAGUAACCUGCCCUUGACUUUGGGAUAACUUCAGGAAACUGGGGCUAAUACCGGAUAGGAGCUCCUGCUGCAUGGUGGGGGUUGGAAAGUUUCGGCGGUUGGGGAUGGACUCGCGGCUUAUCAGCUUGUCGGUGGGGUAGUGGCUUACCAAGGCUUUGACGGGUAGCCGGCCUGAGAGGGUGACCGGCCACAUUGGGACUGAGAUACGGCCCAGACUCCUACGGGAGGCAGCAGUGGGGAAUAUUGCACAAUGGGCGGAAGCCUGAUGCAGCAACGCCGCGUGCGGGAUGACGGCCUUCGGGUUGUAAACCGCUUUCGCCUGUGACGAAGCGUGAGUGACGGUAAUGGGUAAAGAAGCACCGGCUAACUACGUG